rnacentral:rRNA from 1 species
UACGAAGGGGGCUAGCGUUGUUCGGAAUUACUGGGCGUAAAGCGCGUGUAGGCGGGUCUUUAAGUCAGGGGUGAAAUGCCAAGGCUCAACCUGGGAACUGCGUCCGAUACUGGAUGGCUUGAAUCCGGGAGAGGGAUGCGGAAUUCCAGGUGUAGCGGCGAAAUGCGUAGAUAUCUGGAGGAACACCGGUGGCGAAGGCGGCAUCCUGGACCGGCAUUGACGCUGAGGAGCGAAAGCCAGGGGAGCAAACGGG